rnacentral:rRNA from 1 species
GAUGAACGCUGGCGGCGUGCCUAAUACAUGCAAGUCGAGCGAACGGACGAGAAGCUUGCUUCUCUGCUGUUAGCGGCGGACGGGUGAGUAACACGUGGAUAACCUACCUAUAAGACUGGGAUAACUUCGGGAAACCGGAGCUACUACCGGCUAAUAUUUUGAACCGCAUGGUUCAAAAGUGAAAGACGGUCUUGCUGUCACUUAUAGCUGGAUCCGCGCUGCAUUAGCUAGUUGGUAAGGUAACGGCUUACCAAGGCAACGAUGCAUAGCCGACCUGAGAGGGUGAUCGGCCACACUGGAACUGAGACACGGUCCAGACUCCUACGGGAGGCAGCAGUAGGGAAUCUUCCGCAAUGGGCGAAAGCCUGACGGAGCAACGCCGCGUGAGUGAUGAAGGUCUUCGGGUCGUAAAACUCUGUUAUUAGGGAAGAACAGAUGUGGAAGAAACUGUGCACAUCUCGACGGUACCUAAUCAGAAAGCCACGGCUAACUACGUG